GUGAGCAUAGUUUAAAAAAAAUAUUACGCCGUGGACAUAAAGAUAGGACCCCACUGACCUUGCCCACC
rnacentral:tRNA from 1 species